rnacentral:rRNA from 1 species
AUGGAGACCUGUAUGAAUGGCAUAACGAGGGUUUAACUGUCUCCUCUCCCCCGUCAAUGAAAUUGAUCUACCCGUGCAGAAGCGGGUGUAACAACAUAAGACGAGAAGACCCUAUGGAGCUUCAGGCAGAUGAUUAAGCACACCAAACCCUGACUUUGAGUAAUGUCCGGGAAAACAAACGCCCAUAAUCAAAUUGCC